rnacentral:rRNA from 1 species
GACGAACGCUGGCGGCGUGCUUAACACAUGCAAGUCGAACGGAAAGGCCCUGCUUUUGUGGGGUGCUCGAGUGGCGAACGGGUGAGUAACACGUGAGUAACCUGCCCUUGACUUUGGGAUAACUUCAGGAAACUGGGGCUAAUACCGGAUAGGAGCUCCUGCUGCAUGGUGGGGGUUGGAAAGUUUCGGCGGUUGGGGAUGGACUCGCGGCUUAUCAGCUUGUUGGUGGGGUAGUGGCUUACCAAGGCUUUGACGGGUAGCCGGCCUGGGAGGGUGACCGGCCACAUGGGAAGUGAGAGUGGCACCAGCCCCCUACGGGGGGCAGGAGUGGGGAAGUUGCACAAAUGGGCGGAAGCGCGAUACAGCAACGCCGCUGGGGGGUGUCAGGCCUUCGGGUUGUAAACCUCUUUCGCCUGUAACGAAGGGUGGGUGACGGUAGGGGGAAAAAAAGCCCCGGCUAACUACGU